GUGAAAUAAAAAUGGCUGAGAAACUUUCCAGAGCGGCAGAGAUCACUAUCUGUCCUCCAAUAUCCACCCUCCCUUCUUCAUAGGAGCAGAAUCCUUGAGUUUUGGCCGGCCAUGCAGUCACCUAGAAUAAAGACACUCCCUAGCUUCGCAUCGAGGUGAGGCCAUGUGCCCAAGUUCUAGCCAGUGAGAAGUAGCAGAUUCCCGGAACCUUCCUGAAAAGACAGCUGGAGAUUGGCGAGAAUGAAAAGAUGAUUUUACCACUAGAGACUGUGUGGCACUGUUGUUAAUAACCCACCUGGGCUAGACUCCAGCCGUGGACUCACCAGCUAUGCAAGCGUGGAGCAGAUCUGUCACUUCAGUGCCUUGUGCCUUUUUGGGGUGUUUCCUUACCUGAAAAAAAAAAAGAUUGGGGAAAAAAACAGCAUUCAUCUGUAGAGUCUUGGCGAGAAAUAAAUUCUGAGAACAGUACCCGGUACAGGCAUGC